rnacentral:rRNA from 1 species
UACAGAGGGUGCAAGCGUUAAUCGGAAUUACUGGGCGUAAAGCGUGCGUAGACGGUUAUGUAAGUCAGAUGUGAAAGCCCAGGGCUCAACCCUGGAAGUGCAUUCGAUACUGGCAGGCUUGAAUAUGGAAGAGGGUCGCGGAAUUCCCGGUGUAGAGGUGAAAUUCGUAGAUAUCGGGAGGAACACCAGUGGCGAAGGCGGCGACCUGGGCCAAUAUUGACGCUGAGGUGCGAAAGCGUGGGGAGCAAACAGGG